rnacentral:rRNA from 2 species
GAUUGAUGGUGCUUGCACCUGAUUGACGAUGGAUUACCAGUGAGUGGCGGACGGGUGAGUAACACGUAGGUAACCUGCCCCGGAGCGGGGGAUAACAUUUGGAAACAGAUGCUAAUACCGCAUAACAACAAAAGCCACAUGGCUUUUGUUUGAAAGAUGGCUUUGGCUAUCACUCUGGGAUGGACCUGCGGUGCAUUAGCUAGUUGGUAAGGUAACGGCUUACCAAGGCGAUGAUGCAUAGCCAAGUUGAGAGACUGAUCGGCCACAAUGGAACUGAGACACGGUCCAUACUCCUACGGGAGGCAGCAGUAGGGAAUCUUCCACAAUGGGCGCAAGCCUGAUGGAGCAACACCGCGUGAGUGAAGAAGGGUUUCGGCUCGUAAAGCUCUGUUGUUGGAGAAGAACGUGCGUGAGAGUAACUGUUCACGCAGUGACGGUAUCCAACCAGAAAGUCACGGCUAACUACGUGCCAGCAGCCGCGGUAAUACGUAGGUGGCAAGCGUUAUCCGGAUUUAUUGGGCGUAAAGCGAGCGCAGGCGGUUGCUUAGGUCUGAUGUGAAAGCCUUCGGCUUAACCGAAGAAGUGCAUCGGAAACCGGGCGACUUGAGUGCAGAAGAGGACAGUGGAACUCCAUGUGUAGCGGUGGAAUGCGUAGAUAUAUGGAAGAACACCAGUGGCGAAGGCGGCUGUCUGGUCUGCAACUGACGCUGAGGCUCGAAAGCAUGGGUAGCGAACAGGAUUAGAUACCCUGGUAGUCCAUGCCGUAAACGAUGAGUGCUAGGUGUUGGAGGGUUUCCGCCCUUCAGUGCCGGAGCUAACGCAUUAAGCACUCCGCCUGGGGAGUACGACCGCAAGGUUGAAACUCAAAGGAAUUGACGGGGGCCCGCACAAGCGGUGGAGCAUGUGGUUUAAUUCGAAGCUACGCGAAGAACCUUACCAGGUCUUGACAUCUUGCGCUAACCUUAGAGAUAAGGCGUUCCCUUCGGGGACGCAAUGACAGGUGGUGCAUGGUCGUCGUCAGCUCGUGUCGUGAGAUGUUGGGUUAAGUCCCGCAACGAGCGCAACCCUUGUUACUAGUUGCCAGCAUUAAGUUGGGCACUCUAGUGAGACUGCCGGUGACAAACCGGAGGAAGGUGGGGACGACGUCAGAUCAUCAUGCCCCUUAUGACCUGGGCUACACACGUGCUACAAUGGACGGUACAACGAGUCGCAAGCUCGCGAGAGUAAGCUAAUCUCUUAAAGCCGUUCUCAGUUCGGACUGUAGGCUGCAACUCGCCUACACGAAGUCGGAAUCGCUAGUAAUCGCGGAUCAGCAUGCCGCGGUGAAUACGUUCCCGGGCCUUGUACACACCGCCCGUCACACCAUGGGAGUUUGUAACGCCCAAAGUCGGUGGCC